GGCCUGUGGUCAAUACAUUUCUAACUACCUUACUGUAAUUUAGUAAAAAGAACGUUUUGAAGCAGUUUUUGCCUACAAAAAGUUUAGGUUAUUUGUAAAACAUUAAAAAGUCUACCAAAUUAUAACAAAUCAUCACAUUCUGUCCUGUUCCUAUACUAUUAGAUGAUCAUGUGCUUGUUUGUUGAAAAACAAAGCUAAAACAAUUAUAUUUAUCAAGUGUCGGGGUUAUCUAUGCGUCGGAGUUAUCUCUCCGACCAGUAGAUUCACUACCUUUUACGUCAGUUCUAUGUUACUGCAUAUUUGGAGGUUUAAAUAAAUAAUAAGGUCUGACAGCCAACAUGCAUUUAAGAUCUUCAGCUUAGUUCAUGACCGUUUUGAAGUAGAUAAUGUGAUUAUCCAACAUGUUGGAGCCAUAUUCUUCAAGAUUACAAGAAAAUGUACUGAACACAUAGAUAGUUCACCUAUUUGCUGAUGAAUAUACAAAACUAUUGUUGGAAAUGAGGCACAAUGUGUGGCAUAGUUCUAUGUCUUAUUGAACACCAGGGUUAUGGAGUAAAAGACAAUCAUUUUGUAUCAACUGUACUGUAUUGGUCAAGAUAAAAAACACUUCAAUUGGGAUGGCAUGUGAGAAGUCAAUGACUUGUCUAUGUUUGACAGUAUACCAAAAGUGAAUUACAUUCUCAUAGAAUUUGUCUCACAAAGUAUCCCUGAAAAAGCUGAAUACUGCAGUGGCAGAUGUUACAGUGUUUUACUUAAUUGUGAAAAAAUGAUUUGCAAGUUUUAUAUAUGAAACUCCCUUUCUUCUUACAAAACUGAGGGCUUAUGGGGAGACAUAGUUGUUAUUACCCUGUUUGGGUCAAACCACCAACCUGGGUUUGCAAGACUACAUUCAAGGACAUUGUCACAUAUGUGAGCUGUCAUUUGUGACUUCCCGUGUGAUUGCAAAAACCUGUUAUUGUAAUGGUUUUAAAUUUGUUGAAAUUAUUGCAAUUUAAAAAUAUACUAAUAUGUUAUUCAUAUUAUACAAUUUAAAAUACACUGAUCAGAAUAUGAUUACACUGUCAAUAUCUGUAAAUAUAUCUGAAAAUAUAGUCAGGAACAUAACUAGUGCAAGCUCUUCCUAUUUUAUUUGGUUAAAUUUCUGAAAGACUUUUGAAGUUAUUGUGAAUACAAUUAUGUUAUAUGGAAAAAUUUUCAUAAAAUGCAAUUAUUUUAAAACAUUCAGUUAUUUUUGCAUUUUUUUGUUACCAUGGCAACCAAAAUACACCAUUUUUGCAGUCAGUGCAUUUAAGGAUAUUUGAUUUGCAUUGGAUUCAUAUUGUAUAUGCUAUCAUGUUAUAGUUGUGCGUUUUAAAGUGGACUAACUUCAGUUAUGAUAUUCACCUUGAUCAUGGAAAAGUUACUGAAAUUCUGAGAAUUUAAUUCUUACGUUUAAAGUCAUUAUCAAUAACUAUUUAUGGGAAAAAUGAAAAAUCUUUUUUUUUCUGAAAAGUCUUUAAUAUUAUUGUCUUUUAAUAUAAUAUAUGCACUAAUUUGGUGAUGAAUUAAACAUGUUAAGUGCAAAAAUAUUGCAUUUGACAAUUUUUGUUAUUUUUGUUGCCAUGGCAACCGAUUUUUGAAAACAAAUGAUAUUUUUAUAUCAAGAUAUUACAUAUAUUUCACCAAGAUGAAUGAUCACUUUAUAUUUUGUUUAUUUUAUUGGGUAUAACUAUGGAAUUAUUUCUAGUUUAUAUAUACCAAUAAAAGUUUAAAAUGUAUUUUUUGUUGUUAUGGUGAUGUCAUACAAAUUAGAAUAUUUCAUAAAAUAUCAAGUAUUUUUUAAAAAUAAUUAUUUCCAGCUAUCCAGCAGAUGUUGUUCUACCACAAAGUAGUGAUAACUCAUUUUCGCCCAAAUAUCACAUUUGGGCCAAAAAUCGCUUAGCUUGUC